CCUACGGGUGGCUGCAGUAGGGAAUAUUGCUCAAUGGGGGAAACCCUGAAGCAGCAACGCCGCGUGAGCGAUGAAGGUUUUAGGAUUGUAAACUCCUUUUGUUAGAGAAGAUUAUGACGGUAUCUAACGAAUAAGCCCCGGCUAACUCCGUGCCAGCAGCCGCGGUAAUACGUAGGGUGCAAGCGUUACUCGGAAUCACUGGGCGUAAAGGGUGCGUAGGCGGGUUAAUAAGUCAGAUGUGAAAUGCUGUAGCUUAACUAGAGAUAUGCCUUUGAAACUGUUACUCUGGAGGGUGGGAGAGGUAGGUGGAAUUCUUGGUGUAGGGGUAAAAUCCGUAGAGAUUAAGAGGAAUACUCAUUGCGAAGGCGACCUGCUGGAACAUUACUGACGCUGAGGCACGAAAGCGUGGGGAGCAAACAGGAUUAGAUACCCGAGUAGUC
rnacentral:rRNA from 1 species